GAGUUUGAUCCUGGCUCAGGACGAACGCUGGCGGCACGCCUAACACAUGCAAGUCGAACGGAGAUAUUUUGGUUUACUGAGAUAUCUUAGUGGCGGACGGGUGAGUAACACGUGAGCAACCUGCCUCUGAGAGAGGGAUAGCUUCUGGAAACGGAUGGUAAUACCUCAUAACAUAACGAAGCCGCAUGACUUUGUUAUCAAAGAUUUAUCACUCAGAGAUGGGCUCGCGUCUGAUUAGAUAGUUGGUGAGGUAACGGCUCACCAAGUCGACGAUCAGUAGCCGGACUGAGAGGUUGAACGGCCACAUUGGGACUGAGACACGGCCCAGACUCCUACGGGAGGCAGCAGUGGGGAAUAUUGCACAAUGGGGGAAACCCUGAUGCAGCGAUGCCGCGUGGAGGAAGAAGGUUUUCGGAUUGUAAACUCCUGUCUAAAGGACGAUAAUGACGGUACUWGAGAGUCGGCCC
rnacentral:rRNA from 1 species